rnacentral:sRNA from 1 species
AAAUAAGGGAUAAUGUUAAUUGGUAUUUAAAAUUGUGCAAUAUUUAUAUAAUAGCAAAACCGACUAAAUACCGCCAAUACGGUAUAUUGCAACCAUUACCCCUACCCAGCAAAACCUGGGACGAAAUAUUUUUGGAUUUUAUUAUCGGAUUACCCGAUAUAAAAUAUAAUUUUACCACGGUAGACGCCAUUUUAAUUGUAAUAAACAAAUUGACCAAAAUGGCGCGGUUUUUACCCGUUAAAAACAAUAUGGAUAUUUCCGAAUUUGUUUAAUUUUUCACCAAAAAAAUUAAAUGCCGUUAUGGACCUUUAUUGGGCAUUAUUACCGACAAAAAUAAAUUAUUUACGAAUAAAUUUUGGAAAAAAUUGUAUUACAAAUUAAAUAUUAAAAAACGCAUAUUUACAAUAUUCCAUCCACAAAUAAACGGGCAGACCGAAAAAUUUAAUUAAAUUAUUAAACAAUAUUUUAAAUAUUACGCAGGGGAAUAAUAAAAUAUUUGGGCCCAAUUUUUGCCGAUAAUUAAAUACGUUUAUAAUAACGUAUUUUAAAAAAUAAUAGGUAUAUUAUUUAUAAUGGCGUUUAUAAAAAUGGAUGGAAAUUUCUAUUUGAAACCCGAGGACGUAUUAUUAAAAGGGGAAAUAAAAAUUAUACCAAUAAUGCAAAACAGGUUUAAAAAAUUUACCAAAUUGAAGGAAAACCUGCGAAAAAAAUGGAUUUAAACAAUGGAACGAUAUAAAAAAUAUUACGACCAAAAAUAUAAAUCUAUGGAAUUUAAACGAGGUAAUUGGGUACGAUUAUUUAUUCGCAAUAUUAAAUUAAAAAAAAACGCCAAAUUUAAACCCAAAUAUAUUAGAUUUUUUAGGAUUUUAUAUAACGUGGGAAAACAGGCGUAUCGUCUGGUUUUACCAAUAUAAUUUGAAAAAUUACACGAUAUUUUCCCAAUAUAGUUUUUUAAACCAUGGGAGCCCAAAAAUGUAAACGACCACGAAACCAUACUUUGCCCAAACCUUAAAAACGAAAAAAAUUGGGACGUAAAAGAAAUUAAAAAUAUAAAUAUUAAAAAUGGGGUAAUUUAUUAUUUGGUUAAAUGGUUUAAUUGGCCAGCAAAAUAUAAUUAAUGGGUAUUUGAAAAAAACUUAUUUGCAAAAGGUAAAAUAAAAUAAUUUUUAUAAAAAUAAU